CAUGCAUGUCAGAUGUAACGUCUCCUUCAUCUUUACUGUUGAUGCACAUUAGAAGACUUUCUGACUGGCUGUGCAGCAGGACUGGAUGUGAUGAUGGAUCACUCUUUUCUCUGUGUGCUGGGGUUAUUCUUGCUCCGUACGUCCAUUGAUGCAAAUGCUGAAGAAGAUGAAGCCAAAGCCACUCUGACAGCAGACAGUUCAAUCAUACCAGCAGGGGGCAGUGUGACUCUGACCUGUUCUCUGAAAAAUCCUGCAGGAGUCAUUUAUGAG